GUUAAGCGACUAAGCGUACACGGUGGAUGCCCUGGCAGUCAGAGGCGAUGAAGGACGUGCUAAUCUGCGAUAAGCGUCGGUAAGGUGAUAUGAACCGUUAUAACCGGCGAUUUCCGAAUGGGGAAACCCAGUGUGUUUCGACACACUAUCAUUAACUGAAUCCAUAGGUUAAUGAGGCGAACCGGGGGAACUGAAACAUCUAAGUACCCCGAGGAAAAGAAAUCAACCGAGAUUCCCCCAGUAGCGGCGAGCGAACGGGGAGCAGCCCAGAGCCUGAAUCAGUGUGUGUGUUAGUGGAAGCGUCUGGAAAGGCGCGCGAUACAGGGUGACAGCCCCGUACACAAAAAUGCACAUGCUGUGAGCUCGAUGAGUAGGGCGGGACACGUGGUAUCCUGUCUGAAUAUGGGGGGACCAUCCUCCAAGGCUAAAUACUCCUGACUGACCGAUAGUGAACCAGUACCGUGAGGGAAAGGCGAAAAGAACCCCGGCGAGGGGAGUGAAAAAGAACCUGAAACCGUGUACGUACAAGCAGUGGGAGCACGCUUAGGCGUGUGACUGCGUACCUUUUGUAUAAUGGGUCAGCGACUUAUAUUCUGUAGCAAGGUUAACCGAAUAGGGGAGCCGAAGGGAAACCGAGUCUUAACUGGGCGUUAAGUUGCAGGGUAUAGACCCGAAACCCGGUGAUCUAGCCAUGGGCAGGUUGAAGGUUGGGUAACACUAACUGGAGGACCGAACCGACUAAUGUUGAAAAAUUAGCGGAUGACUUGUGGCUGGGGGUGAAAGGCCAAUCAAACCGGGAGAUAGCUGGUUCUCCCCGAAAGCUAUUUAGGUAGCGCCUCGUGAAUUCAUCUCCGGGGGUAGAGCACUGUUUCGGCAAGGGGGUCAUCCCGACUUACCAACCCGAUGCAAACUGCGAAUACCGGAGAAUGUUAUCACGGGAGACACACGGCGGGUGCUAACGUCCGUCGUGAAGAGGGAAACAACCCAGACCGCCAGCUAAGGUCCCAAAGUCAUGGUUAAGUGGGAAACGAUGUGGGAAGGCCCAGACAGCCAGGAUGUUGGCUUAGAAGCAGCCAUCAUUUAAAGAAAGCGUAAUAGCUCACUGGUCGAGUCGGCCUGCGCGGAAGAUGUAACGGGGCUAAACCAU
rnacentral:rRNA from 1 species